AUUGAACGCUGGCGGCAGGCCUAACACAUGCAAGUCGAGCGGCAGAAGGGAGAUUGCUCCUGGAUACAGGGGCCGACGGGCGGGUGAGGCCGAGGAACCUGCCUGGCUACGGGGGAUAAGGUCAGAACACGGGCGCUAAUACCCCAAUAGUGCUGACGGAGUACGUGGGGAAGCAUGGGACCUACCGACCUUGCGCGAUCGAAUGAGCCGAGGUCGGAUUAGCUGGUUAGUGGGGUAAAGGCCCACCAAGGCGACGAUCCGUAGCUGGUCUGAGAGGAUGAUCAGCCACACUGGAACUGAGACACGGUCCAGACUCCUACGGGAGGCAGCAGUGGGGAAUAUUGGACAAUGGGCGAAAGCCUGAUCCAGCCAUGCCGCGUGUGUGAAGAAGGUCUUCGGAUUGUAAAGCCCUUUUAUUUGGGAAGAAAAGCAGUAAGUUAAUACCUUGCUGUUUUGACGGUACCCAAAGAAUAAGCACCGGCUAACUUCGUG
rnacentral:rRNA from 1 species